rnacentral:rRNA from 1 species
GAUCCUGGCUCAGGAUUAACGCUGGCGGCAUGCCUAAUACAUGCAAGUCGAAUGGAAGAGCUUGCUUUCCAUGGCGAACGGGUGAGUAACACGUAGGUAACCUACCUUAAGGACGAGGAUAACCUUUGGAAACGAAGGAUAAUACUGGAUAGGACAUUACAAAGCACAUGCUUAAAUGUUUAAAGGAGCAAUCCACCAUAAGAGGGGCCUGCGGCGCAUUAGCUAGUUGGUGAGAUAAAGGCCCACCAAGGCGAUGAUGCGUAGCUGGACUGAGAGGUUGAACAGCCACAAUGGGACUGAGAACGGCCCAUACUCCUACGGGAGGCAGCAGUAGGGAAUUUUCGGCAAUGGGCAAAAGCCUGACCGAGCAAUGCCGCGUGAUCGAAGAAGUAUUUCGGUAUGUAAAGAUCUUUUAUCAGGGAAGAAAAAACAAAUUGACUGAACCUGAUGAAUAAGCUCCGGCUAACUACGUGCCAGCAGCGGC